rnacentral:rRNA from 1 species
GAUGAACGCUGGCGGCGUGCCUAAUACAUGCAAGUCGAGCGAACGGACGAGAAGCUUGCUUCUCUGAUGUUAGCGGCGGACGGGUGAGUAACACGUGGAUAACCUACCUAUAAGACUGGGAUAACUUCGGGAAACCGGAGCUAAUACCGGAUAAUAUUUUGAACCGCAUGGUUCAAAAGUGAAAGACGGUCUUGCUGUCACUUAUAGAUGGAUCCGCGCUGCAUUAGCUAGUUGGUAAGGUAACGGCUUACCAAGGCAACGAUGCAUAGCCGACCUGAGAGGGUGAUCGGCCACACUGGAACUGAGACACGGUCCAGACUCCUACGGGAGGCAGCAGUAGGGAAUCUUCCGCAAUGGGCGAAAGCCUGACGGAGCAACGUCGCGUGAGUGAUGAAGGUCUUCGGAUCGUAAAACUCUGUUAUUAGGGAAGAACUUAUGUGUAAGUAACUGUGCACAUCUUGACGGUACCUAAUCAGAAAGCCACGGCUAACUACGUG